rnacentral:rRNA from 1 species
GACGAACGCUGGCGGCGUGCUUAACACAUGCAAGUCGAACGGAAAGGCCCUGCUUUUGUGGGGUGCUCGAGUGGCGAACGGGUGAGUAACACGUGAGUAACCUGCCCUUGACUUUGGGAUAACUUCAGGAAACUGGGGCUAAUACCGGAUAGGAGCUCCUGCUGCAUGGUGGGGGUUGGAAAGUUUCGGCGGUUGGGGAUGGACUCGCGGGUUAUCAGCUUGUUGGUGGGGUAGUGGCUUACCAAGGCUUUGACGGGUAGCCGGCCUGAGAAGGUGACCGGCCACAUUGGGACUGAGAUACGGCCCAGACUCCUACGGGAGGCAGCAGUGGGGAAUAUUGCACAAUGGGCGGAAGCCUGAUGCAGCAACGCCGCGUGCGGGAUGACGGCCUUCGGGUUGUAAACCGCUUUCGCCUGUGACGAAGCGUGAGUGACGGUAAUGGGUAAAGAAGCACCGGCUAACUACGUG